CCAUGNNUUUUAGUAAGUUAAUAACUCCUAUUAAUUUAUUUAUAUGGUGGCACAAAAUCGGAAGCCCCGACUGUUUACUAAAAACACAACUAUCUGCAAUUAUGAAAAUAAUAGUAUAGAUAGUGAGAUUUGCCCAAUGCCAGAUUAAUAAGUAAUAAUAAUGGGUAACUGUUUCUUUACAAAAAAUUGGUUAAUAGCGGUCUUAACUAUGAGGAUCCUAAGGUAGCAAAAUAAAUUGGCCAUUAAAUGUGGUCCAGUAUCAAUAAUUUAACGAUGGCUUCACUGUCUCUACAACUUGCUCAGUGAAAUUGAAUUACCCGUGCAGAUGCGGGUUACCUCAAAGAGGACGGGAAGACCCUAUGCAGC
rnacentral:rRNA from 1 species